GAGGGUAGAGCUCAGCGGUAGAGGGCAUGCUUAGCGUGCAUGAGGUCCUGGGCUCAAUCCCCAGUACCCCCA
rnacentral:tRNA from 1 species